UACGGAGGGGGCUAGCGUUGUUCGGAAUUACUGGGCGUAAAGCGCACGUAGGCGGCUUUGUAAGUUAGAGGUGAAAGCCCAGGGCUUAACCCUGGAAUUGCCUUUAAGACUGCAUCGCUAGAAUCGUGGAGAGGUGAGUGGAAUUCCGAGUGUAGAGGUGAAAUUCGUAGAUAUUCGGAAGAACACCAGUGGCGAAGGCGGCUUUCUGGACGGUAACUGACGCUGAGACGCGAAAGCGUGGGGAGCAAACAGG
rnacentral:rRNA from 1 species